rnacentral:lncRNA from 1 species
UUCAUCUGUUGAGGGACACUUAGACAGAAGCCUGUUAUUCUGACAUUGGUUCUAUGACUGUCUUACGAUGGUGCCUGUCAGACUCAUUCUUCCCCCUCAUUUCAGUAAGUGGAGACAUAUCGUGCUCUUACCUUGGCUAAUGGUACCAAGCUCAAAGUUAGAGCUGAAAGUUCAACUACAAUUCUAGGCUUGAACAUUUCCAUGCAAAAGAUAGAGCUCCAUGACAAAUGAUGNNNNNNNNNNNNNNNNNNNNNNAUUCACAAAUAUUUUGACUAUGUAUCAGACUUUUGUUUCUCCUGAGUUCAUAUAGACUUCUAUUAUGAACUAGUAUUUUAGGCUUUUUUUUAAAGACCCAGAGUGAUCCAUGUCACAUAUCUUUAAUAAACAGUAGAAGCAAAUUAUGCUCACUUAGGACAUAAGUGUAAGAUUAUGUGAUGUAUAGACCUCAAAGUUUCCAAAAUGUUCAUUCAUUUACCAGGUAUAUCUGAAGCUUUUUCUCUGGUCUUAGGUAUAAUGCUAGGCCCAGUGACUAUGACUGAAAGAGGCAGCUGUGGACUCCAUCUUCAGAAGCUUAGAUCUGGUAUAUAGAAAGACCACAUCUUCAUGUACAUAUUUUAUUCUACACUGUCUCUAUGUGGUACAAAUAGGUAUGAGUAUCCUCAUUUCAAACAGAAGGCAUCCAAGGCUCAAUGAUGUUCAGUGACUUGUUCGAAGUGACAACCUUACCAAAAGGCAGAACCAGCAUUUAUGAGCCAAUCUUGAUUCCUAGUCAAGGGCUCUUUAUUUGUAUAAUGCUGUAAUUGGAAAAUCUGGCUGGUGUUUGAAAUUUGGUCCAGGUCUCUGGCUGACAAACCAAUAACAGGUCAUCUAAAUUUGACUGAUGUUUCAAGAGCCUUCCUCAGAAAUAAACAAGCUAACUUUAUUAUCAGAUCUUGAGCCUCCAGACCAGUCACCAGCCUGAAGAAGUCCAGCUAGGCAGGAGUGUUUUAGUCCAGUGAGCUCCUUUCAGUGACACUGACCGAUUCCUCAAAUUUUAUCAUGGGAAGGGACAUAUGAUAUCACUAGUCCUGUGGACUCUAAACUUUCACAGCUUGCAAUCUACAAAACACUUUAUCAAAAAACCUGGCUUCUACUUGAAACAAUAGCCCUUUCUCCCUGAGAAGGACAGCUGGGUGUUCAUUGAGAUUCCAUGAAAGCCUUG